rnacentral:rRNA from 1 species
GACGAACGCUGGCGGCGUGCUUAACACAUGCAAGUCGAACGAUGAAGCCCAGCUUGCUGGGUGGAUUAGUGGCGAACGGGUGAGUAACACGUGAGUAACCUGCCCUGGACUCUGGGAUAAGCGUUGGAAACGACGUCUAAUACCGGAUAGGACCUUUCACCGCAUGGUGGGGGGUGGAAAGUUUUUCGGUUUGGGAUGGACUCGCGGCCUAUCAGCUUGUUGGUGAGGUAAUGGCUCACCAAGGCGUCGACGGGUAGCCGGCCUGAGAGGGUGACCGGCCACACUGGGACUGAGACACGGCCCAAACUCCUACGGGAGGCAGCAGUGGGGAAUAUUGCACAAUGGGCGCAAGCCUGAUGCAGCAACGCCGCGUGCGGGAUGACGGCCUUCGGGUUGUAAACCGCUUUUGUCCAGGAAGAAGCCUUAGGGUGACGGUACUGGGAGAAAAAGGACCGGCUAACUACGUGCCAGCCGCCGCCGUAAUAC